rnacentral:rRNA from 1 species
CCCUUAGAUGUUCUGGGCGGCCCGCGCACUACAAUGGCGUGUGCAGCGAGUGCCGAAGUAGAGUUUUCCGAGGUAUUCUUGCAAUGCUCGUUUUGAUGGGGAUAGACCCUUGCAACUGUUGGUUUUGAACGAGGAAUUCCUUGUAAGCAUGGUUUAUCAUCCGACGCUGAAUGCGUCCCUGCCCUUUGUACACACCGCCCGUCGCUCCUACCGAUGAGUCGUCCGGUGAAGUUCGUAGACCUCGUGAUCGUGGAUCACUGGGGGAAGCAAAAUGAACCUCGCGGUUUAGAGGAAGGAGAAGUCGUAACA